UAACUCCGUGCCAGCAGCCGCGGUAAUACGGGGGAGGCAAGCGUUAUCCGGAAUUAUUGGGCGUAAAGCGUCCGCAGGUGGUCAGCCAAGUCUGCUGUCAAAUCAGGUUGCUUAACGACCUAAAGGCGGUGGAAACUGGCAGACUAGAGAGCAGUAGGGGUAGCAGGAAUUCCCAGUGUAGCGGUGAAAUGCGUAGAGAUUGGGAAGAACAUCGGUGGCGAAAGCGUGCUACUGGGCUGUAUCUGACACUCAGGGACGAAAGCUAGGGGAGCGAAAGGGAUUAGAUACCCCUGUAGUC
rnacentral:rRNA from 1 species